UGCAUCGAACUGCUUCCCUCACUUUCGAUCAGUUGUUGCUCCACGAGAUAAACGUUGGACGCAAGACAUGGGUUCCUGUGUUGCAUACCUAUUGCGACGGAAAUGUGCGCCUUCGAUCGUCCCUUCCAUCACGGCGUCCUCACGGAUGCUCGGUUGGACCGGAUAGUGGGGCUCGUGUUCCACGAACGUCGUCUCAUUCGACCGUUCGGAUGGACCACGGGUGCCCACUCGUUCUCUCGGAUGCGGAAAUCUCUUGAUGGGCGUGGGGUCAUUGGCCCUUGGUCCCUAAUCGUUAAGCGUUUAUCGCUUCACCGGAAUGACGAUCUCGCCUUGUCCUUGACCACGCGAAGCCCUCGGGCAUCGCGACGGAUCAUGCUCGGCGGACGUCGUGAAGGAAUGC
rnacentral:misc_RNA from 1 species